UACGUAGGUGGCAAGCGUUGUCCGGAUUUACUGGGCGUAAAGAGCGCGCAGGCGGUCGGAUAAGUCGAAUGUGAAAGCCCCUGGCUCAACCAGGGAGGGUCAUUCGAUACUGUUCGACUCGAAGGCAGGAGAGGGAAGUGGAAUUCCGGGUGUAGUGGUGAAAUGCGUAGAUAUCCGGAGGAACACCAGUGGCGAAGGCGACGUUCUGGCCUGUUCUUGACGCUGAGGCGCGAAAGCUAGGGGAGCAAACGGG
rnacentral:rRNA from 1 species